UACGUAGGGUGCAGGCGUUAAUCGGAAUUACUGGGCGUAAAGCGUGCGCAGGCGGUCUGCUAAGAGAGAUGUGAAAUCCCCGGGCUUAACCUGGGAACUGCGUUUCUAACUGGCAGGCUUGAGUGUGGCAGAGGGGGGUGGAAUUCCACGUAUAGCAGUGAAAUGCGUAGAGAUGUGGAGGAACACCGAUGGCGAAGGCAGCCCCCUGGGCUAACACUGACGCUCAUGCACGAAAGCGUGGGGAGCAAACAGG
rnacentral:rRNA from 1 species